UUUCCAGACUCCUACGGGAGGCAGCAGUGGGGAAUAUUGCACAAUGGGGGAAACCCUGAUGCAGCAACGCCGCGUGAGUGAAGAAGUAUUUCGGUAUGUAAAGCUCUAUCGGCAGGGAAGAAGAUGACGGUACCUGAGUAAGAAGCCCCGGCUAACUACGUGCCAGCAGCCGCGGUAAUACGUAGGGGGCAAGCGUUAUCCGGAUUUACUGGGUGUAAAGGGAGCGCAGACGGUGAGACAAGUCUGAAGUGAAAGCCCGGGGCUCGACCCCCGGACUGCUUUGGAAACUGUUUGACUGGAGUGCAGGAGAGGUAAGUGGAAUUCCUAGUGUAGCGGUGAAAUGCGUAGAUAUUAGGAGGAACACCAGUGGCGAAGGCGGCUUACUGGACUGUAACUGACGUUGAGGCUCGAAAGCGUGGGGAGCAAACAGGAUUAGAUACCCGCGUAC
rnacentral:rRNA from 1 species